CUUAUUAAGAGCGAGGGAGGGAAUGGGCCCUGUGAUCUCGCGGCAACCUCACUCGGGGGUGAAGGUGCCAAAUCCCACGGGAUUCGCCAUGUCCCGGCAGAUGAGG
rnacentral:ncRNA from 1 species